GAUGAGGUGGCCGAGUGGUUAAGGCGAUGGAUUACUAAUACAUUGUGCUCUGCACGCAUGGGUUCAAAUCCUAUCCUCGUUG
rfam:Salmo salar isolate Sally breed double haploid chromosome ssa24, whole genome shotgun sequence.